CCGGUGGCCUUGACCAAGCCCCUCACUGUUGCUGGGGCUCUCCUGUACAGUUCCAUCUGCACACUGGGUGUGGGGCUUACCUGUACGGUUCCAUCUGCACACCGGGUGUGGGGCUCUCCUGUACAGCUCCACCUGCACACCGGGUGUGGGGCUCUCCUGUACAGCUCCAUCUGCACACCGGGUGUGGGGCUCUCCUGUACAGCUCCAUCUGCACACCGGGUGUGGGGCUCUCCUGUACAGCUCCAUCUGCACACCGGGUGUGGGGCUCUCCUGUACAGCUCCAUCUGCACACCGGGUGUGGGCUCUCCUGUACAGCUCCACCUGCACACCGGGUGUGGGGCUCACCUGUACAGCUCCACCUGCACACCGGGUGUGGGGCUCUCCUGUACAGCUCCAUCUGCACACCGGGUGUGGGGCUCUCCUGUACAGCUCCACCUGCACACCGGGUGUGGGGCUCUCCUGUACAGCUCCACCUGCACACCGGGUGUGGGGCUCUCCUGUACAGCUCCAUCUGCACACCGGGUGUGGGGCUCACCUGUACGGUUCCACCUGCACACCGGGCGUGGGGCUCUCCUGUACAGCUCCACCUGCACACCGGGUGUGGGGCUCUCCUGUACAGCUCCAUCUGCACACCGGGUGUGGGGCUCUCCUGUACAGCUCCACCUGCACACUGGGCGUGGGGCUCUCCUGUACAGCUCCACCUGCACACCGGGUGUGGGGCUCUCCUGUACAGCUCCAUCUGCACACCGGGUGUGGGGCUCUCCUGUACAGUUCCAUCUGCACACCGGGCGUGGGGCUCUCCUGUACAGCUCCAUCUGCACACCGGGUGUGGGGCUCUCCUGUACAGCUCCAUCUGCACACCGGGUGUGGGGCUCUCCUGUACAGCUCCACCUGCACACUGGGUGUGGUGCGGGGAUGGGACUCUGGGGAGCUCUGACACUCAGUGAUCCUGUGACCCUGUUCAGUUUACCCACUGGCUCACUGUCCCUGCUGCACAGUCUCCCUAGCUCUAUAGAACAGGGCCUGUGCCUCAGCUGA
rnacentral:lncRNA from 1 species